rnacentral:rRNA from 1 species
GUGCGAAGGUAGCGCAAUCACUUGUCUUUUAAAUGGAGACCUGUAUGAAUGGCAUAACGAGGGCUUAACUGUCUCCUCUUUCAAGUCAAUGAAAUUGAUCUCCCCGUGCAGAAGCGGGGAUAAAACCAUAAGACGAGAAGACCCUAUGGAGCUUUAGACACCAAGGCGGCCCACAGUUAAUAGCACCAAAACAAAGGACCAAACAACACAACACUCCGCCCUAAUGUCUUUGGUUGGGGCGACCGCGGGGUAGUACAAAACUCCCGCGUGGAACGAGAGGACUUCCCUCUUACAGCUAAGAGCUACCGCUCUAAGAAACAGAAUUUCUGACCUAUUAGAUCCGGCUUACGCCGAUCAACGGAACGAGUUACCCUAGGGAUAACAGCGCAAUCCCCUUUUAGAGCCCAUAUCGACAAGGGGGUUUACGACCUCGAUGUUGGAUCAGGACAUCCUAAUGGUGCAGCCGCU